rnacentral:rRNA from 1 species
UACGGGGGGGGCAAGCGUUGUUCGGAAUUACUGGGCGUAAAGGGUUCGUAGGUGGCUUGCUAAGUCAGACGUGAAAUCCCUCAGCUUAACUGGGGAACUGCGUCUGAGACUGGUGAGCUUGAGUGCAGGAGAGGAACGCGGAAUUCCAGGUGUAGCGGUGAAACGCGUAGAUAUCUGGAGGAACACCGGUGGCGAAGGCGGCGUUCUGGACUGCUACUGACACUGAUGAACGAAAGCCAGGGGAGCAAACAGG